AUUCCAUUCACUACGAUUAAUCACAUGAAACCUUACCAGUUACCGAUUAUGAACGCGAGUGUGAUUCAGAAGAGAGACGAGAGGAUGUUUCGGUUGAGUAAGAACAAGGCUUAUUCGAAAUCUGCAGCUGAUACAAGAUUUGAGUUCUGAUUCUCUCAUUUUAAGGCUCUUCAGGUACCCAAGGGAUGGGAAGCUCUUUGUUUCUGUUGUUUCGGUAGAAAGUGGUAAAGCUAUUGCAAAGUCAAGCAAGGUGCUGGUGCAAUAUGGGAGUUGUCAGUGGUCAGAUUCUUUUUCAGAAUUUGUAUUGUUUCCAGGAGAUAAUUCUUCCAAGGAGAUUGAUGAAUGUCUCCUCAAGCUUAUUGUUGCCAUGGUGCUGAUACUAUUGCUGUUUGCUUUUCCUAUUGUGUAUACUCUACUUUGUAGUUAAGAUGUUUCUUUAUCAGUUAGAAGUUUGUUUGAAUUAUGAUGUGGCUUAACAGGGACCAUCAAGGUCUAGUAUCCUUGGAGAGGUCACUGUUAAUAUGGCAAGUUAUGUGAGUUCAAAUGCUGAAUCUCCACUUUCACUCAAGCUGGGUAAGUGGCAACCAUGGGACAGUUUUACAUGUCAGAUAUACAAAUAAAGUUGUCUUACUUUUAUUGAGUGCAGAAACCUGGAUGGUUGUGUUACUGUGGUUGGUUACGCUGGGAUUUAAUUGUAGUCAACUUUGGGGGAAAAGUAACAUUGGAAAUCUGGAAUAUAUUGCUGAGUAUUGAAUGUAUCUUAUUAAUUCCAAUUACUCUUGUUAAUCGACAACUUGUUUUCUUUGGGUAA